AUUUUUUCAGAAAGUCUUCAGGUGGUGUUCUGUCACCUUUGUCACCCUGGAAGGAGGAAAAUACCUCCAUUGCUUCAGCAAGAUUCUGAAGAGGACUCUCAUUGCCCUACCAUGGGCUACACGCCCAUUCCCAAAGCCAUGCCUGGGGCCUCAGGCCACUGGACCGGGACUGGCCGGGCUCAGGAGACCAGACCUGGGAGGUGGACUGAGAAUGAGGGGUUCUCAAGGAAAACUGGGUUUUUGUCUCCGGAAGGGGAAAAGGAAGAUGGACAAAGCGCUCACAGUGACAGUAAUGAAUUCCUGUUCAACUGGCUCCUGCUCCUACCUGCUGACAUAGAUCUCCAGGCCCCUAUGAAGUCCCCCUCAAACAUUGCUGAUGGUCCCCCUAGGACAUUUCAGUGGACCACUCAUGGCAUGUCACCGAGUGCUCUGCUGGGUGUGGCACUCUUCUGUUGGUAGGUGUGGCAGCACGAACCUCCCUCUCCCCUUCUGUCACCUCUGUUGGGGGUUCCCGAGUGAGACCGCUUGUGUUUCCACAUGUGAUGGUUUGGUGUGUCAGCUCUUCCAUUUUCAUUCACUGCUGCUUGUAUCUGUGAGGCCCGACAGUCUUCCUUGGGGCUUGAUUGCAUGUGGAUUUGCACGUUGCACCUUCCUGUACAGUAGUGGGAUUUCUAGUCCUCUCUGAGGAUGAGGACUUUGCCAUGGAGCCAUUUGGGAGCUUCCUCAGCCCCUCCAGCCAGGAGGUCCUAUAAGGUGUCCCUUCCUGGCCGCUUGAUGAGUUUCAACCCCAGUGUACAUACAUCGUUAGACUCUUAGUAAGGGUCCUGCGUCAGCCUGGCCAGUCCCUCUGCAGAAAUCUUGGGCAAAGUGAGAGACCAGCCCUGCUGCAGAUGAGGGCAGCCAAGGACAAUGGCGAGGCAGCUGCCACAUUCCCAGAACCUAUGGAACAGGGCCCCUGGGAAGAGGAGAGGCAGGUUGAGCUGGGCUCAGUCACCAAAGGCCCAGAAUCAGGCCCUGAGGCUCCAAAGUCCUUAUCAAAACCGGUUGUGUGGCUUUUGCCCCAGGGUAACUGUCAGGGACACGACCAGGACUUCCUUUCUCGGCCUGGUUCCCAUCCCUCUCCAGGCUCAGGUUUCAACACAACUCUCUCCUCCUUUUCCUCACAGACACCCGGAAGGCCCCCUGGGGAAAGGGCACUGGGACAAGGGCUGGGGCACUGCGGCAGGUCCAUCUUAGCACCUUUGUGCGUCCCAGUCCCUGCUAGGAAGAGAAGGCCUUUCCUUUGCCCACAGUUGCUCUGAUUCUUGGAGCUGUUGGGUUCAUGGCCAGAAAACUAUGUCCUUGAGGUGUUUUCUCACAGGUGCACCUGGAGCCUGAUGCAGGGUUCUGUCCUGAGCGACCUGCGAGGCUGGUGCUCUGGGGAGCAAGGAACACUCCUCUCCACGGGCUACUUGGAGUGCGCACGGAAUAAACCCGACUGAAACAGCCCGUGACCACAGAAGACACAGAUGAAAUGAAAAAAAAAAUCAAAA